UGGUGUCAUAUUGCAUUGCAUCCCAUGACAUCCUUCAUUCUUGAUGAUUAUGUGUUUUAUUAGUGGUUGGAAAGUAUUUGAUGUUUGAUUACCUCUAUUUGAUGAACUUGAUCUUGUAUGUUGUUGAUAUUUGUGAGUGCCUUUUUGUGAAAGUUGUGAUUGAUGAAUAUUGAGUUUGUUGUUGAGGAUAUGUAAUUUGUUAAAGUGAUUGUUGUUGAGCUGGGUGCUAUGUAAAUUAUGAACUGUUAGGUUGGGCU
rnacentral:lncRNA from 1 species